rnacentral:rRNA from 1 species
UGGGGAAUAUUGCACAAUGGGCGCAAGCCUGAUGCAGCCAUGCCGCGUGUGUGAAGAAGGCCUUCGGGUUGUAAAGCACUUUCAGCGAGGAGGAAGGUGGUGAGCUUAAUACGCUCAUCAAUUGACGUUACUCGCAGAAGAAGCACCGGCUAACUCCGUGCCAGCAGCCGCGGUAAUACGGAGGGUGUCAAGCGUUAAUCGGAAGUUACUGGCAGUAAAGCGCACGCAGGUCGGUUUGUUAAGUCAGAUGCUGAAAUCCCCGGGCUCAACCUGGGAACUGCAUUUGAAACUGGCAAGCUAGAGUCUCGUAGAGGGGGGUAGAAUUCCAGGUGUAGCGGUGAAAUGCGUAGAGAUCUGGAGGAAUACCGGUGGCGAAGGCGGCCCCCUGGACGAAGACUGACGCUCAGGUGCGAAAGCGUGGGGCAGCAAACAGGAUUAGAUACCCUGGUAGUCCACGCUGUAAACGAUGUCGAUUUUGGAGGUUGUGCCCUUGAGGCGUGGCUUCCGGAGCUAACGCGUUAAAUCGACCGCCUGGGGAGUACGGCCGCAAGGUU